rnacentral:rRNA from 1 species
CCUACGGGUGGCAGCAGUGAGGAAUAUUGGUCAAUGGCCGGAAGGCUGAACCAGCCAAGCCGCGUGAAGGACGAAGGUGCCAAGCAUUGUAAACUUCUUUUGUCAAGGGACAAAAUCAGGCUCGAGAGCCUGACCGAGGGUACUUGAAGACAAAGCAUCGGCUAACUCCGUGCCAGCAGCCGCGGUAAUACGGGGGAUGCGGGCGUUAUCCGGAUUUAUUGGGGUUAAAGGGUGCGUAGUGGGACUGUUAAGUCAGCGGUAAAAGCCCGGGGUUAAACCCCGGCGAGCCGUUGAAACUGGCUGUCUUGAGAUGUGGAGAGGUAGGCGGAAUGCGCAGUGUAGCGGUGAAAUGCGUAGAUAUUGCGAAGAACGCCGAUGGCGAAGGCAGUAUACCGGAGGCGAUCUGACGCUGAGGCACGAAAGCGUGGGUAGCGAACAGGAUUAGAUACCCGUGUAGUC